CCCGCCCAGCCGUUGCCGUGGGCACCGGAGCCGGCGUGCGAGUGCUGGGUCCCAGCCCGGCCUGGGCGCUGCGUUACCCCCAGGCCGGCCAGCAGCGGCGCGCUCUGCCCAGCCGAACUUCCAGAUGUUACCUGUGCUACAAUAUCGGAUCCCAUCUCGAAACAUGGAUUUCCAGGUGUGCUGGGAUUCUACAGAGUUUGUGCAGAAACAGAAGGACUUUCGGAAUGGAUGGUAAAGGAACAGCAGAAACUCUUCCGGAGGCUCAUUUAAGGGGUCUUGGUCCCAAUGUGGGUAGUCAACUUGAAAAGGAAAGCACAGAACAUGUUUCCAACAGUGACUGUUAGAAUCAAAUGUUUCUUGAAAUAAUGUGUUAUGUCUCCACAGCUCUUAAUGAUCCUGGUGUCUCUCCCUGGUGCCCAACCCAGAGGACAGCUGCCAUUUUACUGCCAGAAGGAAUGCCUAUCUACAGCUAAGGCAGCAGAGGGAACUACAUAUUAUCAGUACUUGCCAAGAUUCAGCCUAUAAUUGGAGACAUCUAAAUGCACUGAGUGAGGCUGAACACCUGCACGGUCACUUUAAGGUGUCCCCAUUAUACUGUGUCAGGACUCCUUCAUGCAGAAGAGCAACAGGUGGUAUCUGGAGCUGUGAAUGGAUAAAGGAGGACAGGAUAGGGCUAACCCUAAGUCCCAGUGACAGUGCAGAUGCAACUGUAAACUCUUUGGAGCAGAGACCAUGUCAUCUUCUGUGUCUAACCCUGACCCAGGCCUUUGGCUGUUACUCUAAAACAAUAUAAAUAAUAAGAACAUAAGAAUGGCCAUACUGGCUCAGACCAAAGGUCCAUCUAGCCCAGUAGCCUGUCUGCCGACAGUGGCCAGCACCAGGUGCCCCAGAGGGGGUGGACUGAAGACAAUGAUCAAACGAUUUGUCUUGUGCCAUCCAUCUCCAGCCUCGGACAAACAGAGGCCAGGGACACCAUUUUAUCCCCUGGCUAAUAGCCUUUUAUAAAGAUGUCUAAAUAAUGAGACAAGUGAAUGACGACAUCUAGUGGCCACUGGCAGCAAAUAAAACACCUACAUUAACUUCUAUUUCUCUCCCUCCCCCUGUAAUUUCAGUCAAAAUAGCUCUUAAGGGGGGUUACAAAGUCUUUCAAUCUAAUCCAGAGGACAGGUAACAAUUUAUCAGCUCCAUCAGUAUAUAAAAAAAUUAUAAAACUGCAUGUACUAUAGAACUGCAGUGAUAUAGCUGUGUUUGUACCAGGAUAUUAGAGACAGGCAGAAGUGUUAAUAGUCCAUCAGACCAUGAAUGGUCUCUUGCAACAUGUAUUAACUCCUUAUGCUUAACAAUUUCUUACACCUUGUAUUUAUUCAUGAUGCUCUGAGUACCUUUCCCAGACCUGAAGCAGAACUCUGUGUGAGUUUCUCUCUUUGCAAAUUGAAGCAGGUGAAUGAAAGUAUGAGCAAGUAACAGUGAAUGGCAGGUUUUUAAACUUCCUACUAGCAGCAGGGCUGCAUUGAAGAUUAGCACUUGGGAGUUGCCAGCUCCUAUUCCCAUGCUUAAGCCACCAGAGUAUACACAUCCUCAUGCUUGAUCCAUUCAGCAACACAGAACUGUGUGUCAGAGAUUAAUCAUACUAGAGCCCUAAAGGAUCUCAAGAUGCUAGAGAGAAUGGAGGAUGAAGGCAAAGUUGUUUUCUGAUCAGGGAGAAGGCAGCAGCUCAAGAUGUUUGGGGAAAAAGAAAAAGCUCUCCUAGAACACUAAUAACAGCCAUACAUUGCACUUUCACAGCUCCUACAGAAGUUAGCAAGGAUUAGAGAGGGAAGGAGAAGGAAAGGAGGGAUGGUGUGCAAGAAAACCAGGGAUGGUCUAGACAGUAUUUGGUCCUGCCAUGAGGGCAGGGGACUGGACUUGAUGACCUCUCGAGGUCCCUUCCAGUCCUAGUAUUCUAUGAUUCUAUGAAAAUGUGGCCUUUUGAAUUCUCUGAAACUUUAGUCAGUAUUUGAAAUGUGAACUUAGUAGUGCCAUCACUGGCCUCCAGCAUGCAGAAACUGCCCUACACCCCAAACACACACAGAGGUAUGAAUCAGGAACUGCUUUUGUAUUUUUAAAUAUGUUCCUAAAAAACUAUGUCCAGGGCAUGAGCAGCCAAAGCCCCUACUGUUAGGUCAGUGAUUCACAUGCUAGCAAUUACUUACAUGUGUAGCCAACAAUAUUAGUUACUAGCAAAAAUACCCAGCGUCGCCCGGGGAAAAUAUAGUAAAAGGUGUGAUAAAUGAACUAUGUCAAUGACAUGAACAAAGUAUAUUUUACUGGAAAUACUUUUCUCUCAUAUAUUACUUUAAGAAAUUUACAUAGCUAGUGAUGUGCUUACAAAACGCAUUUACAUUUAACUCAUUUGUUGAUAACAAAAGGUGUGGUGAAUGAACUAUGUAAAUGACGUUAACAUAAUGUAUUUUAUUGGAAAUACUUUUUCUUAUAUCAUAGGGAAAGGAUCUCGUAGUUGCAGUGUGAUACACUUAACAGAAGAGUCCAGCAAAUGCCUAUGAUGAGGCACUACGAAAAGCUAAUUAGUGGCCCCGUUGGGGCUCUGGGGGACCCAAUUUUGAGAUAUAAUCAAUCCAGUUAUUGAAGUUAGGAAAUCAGUAGUAUCCAUUCAAAAUUUGGUGUUUCUAGCUGUUACCGUUUCAGAGAUCUAAGCUAAUUAUCAGUGGGCCCAAUUGGGGCUCUGGAGGAACCGAUUUCCAGAUAUAACCAAUCUAGUUAUUUAAGUUAGGAAAUCAGUAGAAUCCAUUCAAAAUUAGGUGUUUCCCAGCAAAUGCCUAUGAUCAGGCGCUACUAAAAGCUAAUUAGUAGCCCAAUUGGGGCUCUGUGGGAACCGAUUUCAA